ACAGGCUGGAACCCAGGAGAGCAUCUGCGAGGAGAGGUGGCCUUACCUGCCACGUGGACUGGCCUUGUCCCACCGCUCUCCCUCGGUCCCACCUGCCCCUUGUGACAAUGUCCAGCAGCAAAUGCAGACAGGAAGAUCCUUUUGAAAUUAGACACAGCUUCUGGAAUCAACCCAGACACCGCUUUUCAAGCCAGAAGCAUUUGUAUAAGCAUCAUCAAUCAUGCCACUGGCUCUUAUUGCUACUGUAUAUUCACUUUCUACCUGGUUUGAAUUCCUAAUUGGCCCUGCUGCGCAACUUAAAGCCCUGAAGAAAGCAGUGGAAGGGAGGUGGGGGAGAGUAUUACUUCCCCUGCUGGGAUCAGGAGGGUUUCUUGCAAAUUACACUGAUAAAGUCCAUUUCCUGGAGAAAACAGACAAGAAGCAGUUGGUAACAGGAAAUCUGCUGGAUUUUUUUUUCCUCCGUGAGAGAGGAAGAAGUUACCAUCAUGGCAGGCAAGGCAAGAGUGGGGAUGUGUGCCUGGUAAGUUCUUCUCCUCCAAGGCAAAAAAAUCUUUAGUGAGUAAGAAAGUGCUCCCUGCAAUCCCUAUCUCCUUGCUCUCACAAAUGGCCUGGGGGACAUGGGGAGGAAAAU